UCGUCACACUAUCAUUAACUGAAUCCAUAGGUUAAUGAGGCGAACCGGGGGAACUGAAACAUCUAAGUACCCCGAGGAAAAGAAAUCAACCGAGAUUCCCCCAGUAGCGGCGAGCGAACGGGGAGGAGCCCAGAGCCUGAAUCAGCAUGUGUGUUAGUGGAAGCGUCUGGAAAGGCGCGCGAUACAGGGUGACAGCCCCGUACACAAAAGCGCAUGUGCUGUGAGCUCGAUGAGUAGGGCGGGACACGUGGUAUCCUGUCUGAAUAUGGGGGGACCAUCCUCCAAGGCUAAAUA
rnacentral:rRNA from 1 species